AGAGGGGCGGGCUCCUUUGUUGACUUAAGAGUUCACCAGGCAAGAUGGAACAAUUAUCUUGUUGCCUCUUCUUAACUGUCUAUUGUUGACUUACUUCUAGUAUGCUUCCAUUGUACAAAAUUCUAUCCAAAAUUGAAGAAUAAAUCGUAAGUUAAAAAGAUACAUGUACUAGCCCAGGAAGAUCCCUGCAUCUUGAACAGUAAUGCUGAAUCGGAAACUAUGUCGUUACCCAUAAGUAGAAUCCUCCUGACUUUCACUUAAAUAUCAGGACCCAAAUUAUUUUAUGUCUCACUUCAGAACAUAGCACAAUGUGCUAUUUUAUCUUCUUGGCCCAGUCUUUAGAUUUAUUCUAUACUCUCCGUGUUACAAGCUGCACAAACCAUUGGUGACAAUGAGAACCACUCUAUAUAGUUUUACUGACUUUGGAUUCUC
rnacentral:lncRNA from 1 species